GGCUGGAUAGCAAAGUGGUAAUGCACUGGACUGCAACUCCUUGAUCGUCGGUUCGAUUCCGACUCCAGCCUCCA
rnacentral:tRNA from 3 species